AGGGUGGUGAUUUUGAACAGGAACCAAGUGUGGCUGGAUUGGAACAGGACCAAGAACUGGAGUAUUGAAAGGAGGCUGGUGGUGAUACAUAUGAAGCAUACCGUGCGGCGGAGGAGGCGGGAUAAUCAUCCUCGGAGGUUGAGGCAGCGGAGGAGUAGUUCGACCAGGAACGAACUCAGGAGCUCCGGCGUUGAGUCGACUUAAGGAGAGAGACCUCAAGAGUGAUGGAUCUGAGGAAGAAGAAGCUGAAGUAGUAGAGGAAGUAGAGUGGGAGUGAGAUAGAUCAUCGGAUUGAGUAGGAGGAGGAGUAGAGGAAUCUAGGGUUUGUU
rnacentral:lncRNA from 1 species